UACGAAGGGUGCAAACGUUGCUCGGAAUUAUUGGGCGUAAAGCGCACGUAGGCGGCCACCGCAAGUCGACUGUGAAAUCUCCGGGCUUAACCCGGAAAGGUCAGCCGAUACUGCGGGGCUAGAGUGCAGAAGGGGCAACUGGAAUUCUCGGUGUAGCGGUGAAAUGCGUAGAUAUCGAGAGGAACACCUGCGGCGAAGGCGGGUUGCUGGGCUGACACUGACGCUGAGGCGCGAAAGCUAGGGGAGCGAACGGG
rnacentral:rRNA from 1 species